UACGAGGGGGGCAAGCGUUGUUCGGAAUUAUUGGGCGUAAAGGGCGCGUAGGCGGCGCGGUAUGUCUCUUGUGAAAUCUCCAGGCUCAACUUGGAGUCUGCAAGGGAAACUGCCGUGCUUGAGUACUGGAGAGGUGAGUGGAAUUCCCGGUGUAGCGGUGAAAUGCGUAGAUAUCGGGGAGGAACACCUGUGGCGAAAGCGGCUCACUGGACAGUAACUGACGCUGAUGCGCGAAAAGCUAGGGGAGCAAACAGG
rnacentral:rRNA from 1 species